rnacentral:rRNA from 1 species
UUUGAUGGCGACCGGCGCACGGGUGAGUAACACGUAUCCAACCUGCCGAUGGCUCGGGGAUAGCCUUUCGAAAGAAAGAUUAAUACCCGAUGGCAUAGUUCUUCCGCAUGGUAGAACUAUUAAAGAAUUUCGGUCAUCGAUGGGGAUGCGUUCCAUUAGGUUGUUGGCGGGGUAACGGCCCACCAAGCCUUCGAUGGAUAGGGGUUCUGAGAGGAAGGUCCCCCACAUUGGAACUGAGACACGGUCCAA